rnacentral:tmRNA from 1 species
GGGGAUGAUCGGUUUCGACGGUGACCCUGUUCCAGGGGAAGCGGGUCGAGGAUGUGCAGUUAUCUCGUUAACGCCCUGCACAAACCAAUAGGUGCCGAAUCUAAGAGCACCGACUUCGCCCUCGCUGCCUAAGCGAGCCUGAAGUCCGUCAGCCUGGGGACGCUCUCGCCCCAGAUCCUGGCGUCAUCUUGAGAGCCACUGCUUCGUUGUCGCGUUACCCGGCAACGAGGGACUUUUAGGUAACUGAGCCCGUCGGCAGCUAGUUCGCGAGACUGCCGGGGCCGAGAAAAUCAGCAGCGAACUGCACCCGGAGAAUCCUUGUUUCACGUGUCAUCGGACGCGGGUUCGAUUCCCGCCAUCUCCACGG